AGAUCACACCAAUGAAAAUAUUAGAUUAAGAUAAAUAGUUUUAAACUUUUUUAGAAGAAGUUGCUAUUACAAAGUGAACUUUAAGUCUAACUCAAUUCUAUAAAAUCGGCUCAUAAGGUUGAAGUUUGCACCUACUUAUAUACAAUGAAAUGUCAUCAUCUCUAAUCGAUGUGAGAUCUCUAACAACUGCAUGUCACGAAAUUAAAUAAUAAAUUUGUUUGCUCCAUAUGAUCUAAAUACUCAACUAGCUUAUUUAAUGGAGUAACCUAACUAAAACCUAAUGAAAUAAUGUUUUCAUUUUUGUUGUUGUUUAGGUUAUUUGCAUAUUUGUGCCUUUGCAAGUUGCAAGGUACCCAACACUUGGGUCAUUGAGAACCUCAUGUAUCUUUAUGUUUCCUUUUCCACACUCCAAAUGAAGGUGAUUCAUAACAAAAGUCGCUUUCUCUAUAAUGAAUUACCUCUUUGGUAAACUCCAUCAUUGUUCUAGGUCAUAGAUCCCUUUCUCAUUAACUUGCCGGAACAAGAUGUCCUAUUCAACCAAAAAUUAACUUAUGCCACCAAUAUAUAUUUAUAUCUAACCUAAAAAACUUAAAACACAAGACUAAAAUGUAGAAAUAGUGAAAACCAACAAUAAUUG
rnacentral:lncRNA from 1 species